rnacentral:tRNA from 2 species
GGGCCUGUAGCUCAGUCGGUUAGAGCACUCCUCUGAUAAGGGAGUGGUCAGUGGUUCGAGUCCACUCAGGCCCACCA